rnacentral:rRNA from 1 species
UACGGAGGGUGCAAGCGUUAAUCGGAAUUACUGGGCGUAAAGGGUGCGUAGGUGGUUUGAUAAGUUAUCUGUGAAAUUCCUGGGCUCAACCUAGGACUGUCAGAUGAGACUGUUAGACUCGAGUAUAGGAGAGGGUAGUGGAAUUUCCGGUGUAGCGGUGAAAUGCGUAGAGAUCGGAAGGAACACCAGUGGCGAAGGCGGCUACCUGGCCUAAUACUGACACUGAGGCACGAAAGCGUGGGUAGCAAACAGG